GAUUUCCUGGGUUGGUGCCGAUGGACAGGAACAGCUGUUUGACAAAUGACAGCUCAUGCUCUGAAUUCGUUUUAAUUGCUAUUUUUCUGUCGUUAGAUAAACUAUUUUAAAGCUGGAUUUAUUUCUGCAAGUGCCGAUAGCACAACAUAUAUACUGUUGAUGCUCUAUUCAUUUUAACAGGAUAUGAAAAAGGGAAGGAAACACCAGCAAGGUACAGGAGCCCGGGUGAAUGGGAAUGGAAAUGCACAGCAACAUGGAGAACAUGAGUCAUGGAAAAAGCUGAAGCUGGUGGAGAUCCACCAGGCCCUGAACUGUGACCCUGUGGACAUUGAGACCCUGCGGAGGGCGGCCGUCAGCGAGGGAGGCCUUCUUACAGAUGAGAUCAGGAGGAAAGUCUGGCCCAAGCUGCUCAGCGUCAAUGUGUACAACUUGCCUGCUAAACCAACCAAGGAUAUCCGAGAGAACCACAAGGACUUCAACCAGGUGCUCCUUGAUGUCAGGAGGUCCAUGAAACGUUUCCCAAGAGGCAUGCGUGUGGACGAGAGGCAGGUACUACAGGAACAGCUGAUCGACAUCAUCCUGGUUGUCCUACAGAAGAACCCUGCGUUACACUACUACCAGGGUUACCAUGACAUCGUGGUCACCUUCCUACUGGUGGUUGGAGAGCGCAUGGCCAUUGCCAUGGUGGAGACCCUUUCCAAUCACCACCUCAGGGAUUUCAUGGAUCCUACCAUGGACAGCACCAAGCACAUACUGAACUACCUAAUGCCAAUACUGGAGCAAGUUGAUCCACAGCUACACGAAUUCAUGCUGAGGGCCGAGGUGGGCACCAUCUUUGCUCUGAGCUGGCUCAUCACAUGGUACGGCCACGUCCUGUCUGAGUUCCGUCACGUUCUCAGGCUCUAUGACUUCUUCCUGGCUUCACACCCCCUGAUGGCCAUCUACUUCGCUGCCGUGAUCGUCCUGCACAGGGAGAAGGAGGUGAAGCAAACCGAGUGUGACAUGGCCAUGAUGCACCAACUCCUGUCUAAGAUCCCCCAGGACCUGCCCUACGAGGAGCUCAUCACCCAGGCCCACUGCCUCUUUACCCGCUACCCGCCCUCCCUGCUGGCCAAGCGUGCUGCUCUGCAGUCCCGCAAUAGGGCCAGAGACAGUCCCUCACUACACCACCAGAGUGGACCAUGGAUGGAUGACACAGGGCCAGAGACAGUCCCUCACUACACCACCAGAGUGGACCAUGGAUGGAUGACACAGGGCCAGAGACAGUCCCUCACUACACCACCAGAGUGGACCAUGGAUGGAUGACACAGGGCCAGAGACAGUCCCUCACUACACCACCAGAGUGGACCAUGGAUGGAUGACACAGUUUCUCAGUUAUGCAGGACAAUGCUCCAUGCCACACAGCCAGGUCAAUCAAGGUGUGGUUGGAGGACCACCAGAUCAAGACCCUGUCAUGGCCAGCCCAAUCUCCAGACCUGAACCCCAUUGAAAAUCUCUGGAAUGUGAUCAAGAGGAAGAUGGAUGGUCACAAGCCAUCAAACAAAGCAUAGCUGCUUGAAUGUUUGCGCCAGGAGAGGCAUAAAGUCACCCAACAUCAAUGUGAAAGACUGGUGGAGAGCAUGCCAAGAUGCAUGAAAGCUGUGAUUGAAAAUCAGGGUUAUUGCACCAAAUAUUGAUUUGUGAACUCUUCCUAAGUUAAAAAAUGAUUUUAAAACUUAUUUUAUUAUUAUUAUUUGAGGUCUGACAACACUGCAUCUUUUUGUUAUUUUGACCAGUUGUCAUUUUCUGCAAAUAAAUGUGUAAUUUGGGAGAAAUGUUGUCACUAGUUUAUAGAAUAAAACAAAAAUGUUCAUUUUACCAAGAAACUGAAGAUUCAUCCCAAAGGUGUUCAAUGGGGUUGAGGUCCCGUUCUGUGAGCUUGUGUGGCUUACCAAUUGUGGCUGAGCCAUUGUUGCUCUUAGAUGUUUCCACUUCAUAAUAAUAACACUUACAGUUGAACGGGGCAGCUCUAACAGGGCAGAAAUUUGACCAACUGACUUGUUGUGAAGGUGGCAUCCUACAACGGUGCCACGUUGAAAGUCAUUGAGCUCUUCAGUAAGGCCAUUCCACUGCCAAUGUUUGUCCAUGGAGAUUGCAUGGCUGUGUGCUCGAUUUUAUAAACCAGUCAGCAACGUGUGUGGCUGCAAUAGCCAAAUAAACUAGUUUGAAGAGGUGUCCAGAUACUUUUGUGUAUGUAGUGUGUCUGUGUCGUCUGUGUAUGU